rnacentral:rRNA from 1 species
AUUGAACGCUGGCGGCAUGCCUAACACAUGCAAGUCGAGCGGAUGAGCGGAGCUUGCUCCUGGAUUCAGCGGCGGACGGGUGAGUAAUGCCUAGGAAUGUGCCUAGUAGUGGGGGAUAACUUCCGGAAACGGGCGCUAAUACCGCAUACGUCCUGAGGGGGAAAGUUGGGGAUCUUCGGACCUCGCGCUAUCAGAUCAGCCUAUGUCGGAUUAGCUAGUUGGUGGGGUAAAGGCCUACCAAGGCGACGAUCCGUAGCUGGUGUGAGAGGAUGAUCAGGCACACUGGAACUGAGACACGGCCCAGACUCCUACGGGAGGCAGCAGUGGGGAAUAUUGGACAAUGGGCGCAAGCCUGAUCCAGCCAUGCCGCGUGUGUGAAGAAGGUCUUCGGAUUGUAAAGCACUUUUAGCAGGGAAGAAGGGUAGUAAGUUAAUACCUCGUUGUUUUGACGGUACCAACAGAAUAAGCACCGGCUAACUACGUG